rnacentral:rRNA from 1 species
GACGAACGCUGGCGGCGUGCUUAACACAUGCAAGUCGAACGGAAAGGCCCUGCUUUUGUGGGGUGCUCGAGUGGCGAACGGGUGAGUAACACGUGAGUAACCUGCCCUUGACUUUGGGAUAACUUCAGGAAACUGGGGCUAAUACCGGAUAGGAGCUCCUGCUGCCUGGUGGGGGUUGGAAAGUUUCGGCGGUUGGGGAUGGACUCGCGGCUUAUCAGCUUGUUGGUGGGGUAGUGGCUUACCAAGGCUUUGACGGGUAGCCGGCCUGAGAGGGUGACCGGCAACAUUGGGACUGAGAUACGGCCCAGACUCCUACGGGAGGCAGCAGUGGGGAAUAUUGCACAAUGGGCGGAAGCCUGAUGCAGCAACGCCGCGUGCGGGAUGACGGCCUUCGGGUUGUAAACCGCUUUCGCCUGUGACGAAGCGUGAGUGACGGUAAUGGGUAAAGAAGCACCGGCUAACUACGUG